GCGGGUGUAGUUUAGUGGUAAAACUUCAGCCUUCCAAGCUGAUAUCGUGGGUUCGAUUCCCAUCACCCGCU
rnacentral:tRNA from 2 species